rnacentral:rRNA from 1 species
UUUUUGAGGGGGAUAACACCGGGAAACCGGAGCUAAUACCGCAUAAAAUAUUGAAAUCGCAUGGUAUCGAUAUCAAAGGAGUAAUCCGCAGAAAGAUGGACUCGCGUCCGAUUAGCUAGUUGGAGGGGUAACGGCCCACCAAGGCGACGAUCGGUAGCCGGACUGAGAGGUUGAACGGCCACAUUGGGACUGAGACACGGCCCAGACUCCUACGGGAGGCAGCAGUGGGGGAUAUUGCACAAUGGGGGAAACCCUGAUGCAGCAACGCCGCGUGAGGGAAGAAGGUUUUCGGAUUGUAAACCUCUGUCCUAGGUGAAGAUAAUGACGGUAACCUGGGAGGAAGCUCCGGCUAACUACGUGCCAGCAGCCGCGGUAAUACGUAGGGAGCGAGCGUUGUCCGGAAUUACUGGGUGUAAAGGGUGCGUAGGCGGCCUUGUGGGUCAGGCGUGAAAUACAUGGGCUUAACCCAUGGACUGCGCUUGAAACUAUAAGGCUUGAGUGAAGUAGAGGCAGGUGGAAUUCCCGGUGUAGCGGUGAAAUGCGUAGAGAUCGGGAAGAACACCAGUGGCGAAGGCGGCCUGCUGGGCUUUAACUGACGCUGAGGCACGAAAGCAUGGGUAGCCCACAAAAGUUAGAUACCCUGGUAGUCCAUGCCGUAAACG